rnacentral:rRNA from 1 species
UGGUGCCAGCAGCCGCGGUAAUUCCAGCUCCAAUAGCGUAUAUUAAAGUUGUUGCAGUUAAAAAGCUCGUAGUUGAAUUUCGGGAUCAGUAGGUUGGUCAUGCCUAUGGUAUGUACUGGUUUUACUGGUUCCUCCUUCUUGAUGAUCUGUAAUGUCAUUAAUUUGGUGUUGCAGGGAGUCAGGACUGUUACUUUGAAAAAAUUAGAGUGUUUAAAGCAGGCAUACGCUUGAAUACAUUAGCAUGGAAUAAUGAAAUAGGACGUUCGAUCCUAUUUUGUUGGUUUCUAGGAUUGACGUAAUGAUUAAUAGGGAUAGUUGGGGGCAUUAGUAUUCAAUUGUCAGAGGUGAAAUUCUUGGAUUUAUUGAAGACUAACUACUGCGAAAGCAUUUGCCAAGGAUGUUUUCAUUAAUCAGGAACGAAAGUUAGGGGAUCGAAGACGAUCAGAUACCGUCGUAGUCUUAACCAUAAACUAUGCCGACUAGGGA